GAUGAACGCUAGCGGCAGGCCUAACACAUGCAAGUCGAGGGGUAGAACACUUCGGUGUUUGAGACCGGCGCACGGGUGCGUAACGCGUAUGCAAUCUACCUUGUACAGGGGAAUAGCACAGAGAAAUUUGGAUUAAUGCCCCAUAGUAUAUAACCUUCGCAUGUUUGUUAUAUUAAAGUUCCAACGGUACAAGAUGAGCAUGCUUCCCAUUAGUUAGUUGGUAAGGUAACGGCUUACCAAGACGAUGAUGGGUAGGGGUCCUGAGAGGGAGAGACGCCACACUGGUACUGAGACACGGACCAGACUCCUACGGUAGGCAGCAGUGAGGAAUAUUGGUCAAUGGGCGCAAGCCUGAACCAGCCAUGCCGCGUGCAGGAAGACGGUCCUAUGGAUUGUAAACUGCUUUUAUACAGGAAGAAACCCUCCCACGUGUGGGAGAUUGACGGUACUGUAGGAAUAAGGAUCGGCUAACUCCGUGCCAGCCGCCGCCGUAAAAC
rnacentral:rRNA from 1 species